GACGAACGCUGGCGGCGUGCUUAACACAUGCAAGUCGAACGAAGUGGCGAACGGGUGAGUAAUACGUGGGUAACCUGCCCUCCUUUUUGGGAUAAGCCUUGGAAACGGGGUCUAAUACCGAAUAAAGGGGGAUGGGCUUGCGGCCUAUCCGCUUGUUGGUGGGGUGAUGGCCUACCAAGGCGGUGACGGAUAGCCGGCCUGAGAGGGUGACCGGGAACAUUGGGACGGAGAAACGGCCCAGACGGCGACGGGGGGGGGCAGUGGGGGAUAUGGGAGAAUGGGCGAAAGCCUGAUGCAGCGUCGGCGAGUGGGGGAUGAGGGCUUUCGGGUUGUAAACCUCGUGAGCUAUCGAACGGGUAGGUAGAGAAAAAGCGCCGGCUAACUACGUGCCAGCAGCCGCGGUAAUAC
rnacentral:rRNA from 1 species